rnacentral:rRNA from 1 species
UACGUAGGGUGCAAGCGUUGUCCGGAAUUAUUGGGCGUAAAGAGCUCGUAGGCGGUUCGUCGCGUCGGCUGUGAAAUCCCGGAGCUCAACUCCGGGUCUGCAGUCGAUACGGGCGGACUCGAGUUCGGCAGGGGAGACUGGAAUUCCUGGUGUAGCGGUGAAAUGCGCAGAUAUCAGGAGGAACACCAAUAGCGAAGGCAGCUCGCUGGGACGUUACUGACGCUGAGGCGCGAAAGCGUGGGGAGCGAACAGG